rfam:Salmo salar isolate Sally breed double haploid chromosome ssa01, whole genome shotgun sequence.
UGGCUCAGUUGGUAGAGCGUGGCGCUUGCAACGCCAGGGUCUUGGGUUCAAUUCCCAC